rnacentral:tRNA from 1 species
GCUGGAGAGAUGGCUCAGCGGUUAAGAGCACUGAUUGCUCUUCCAGAGGUCCUGAGUUCAAUUCCCAGCAACCACAUGGUGGCUCACAGCCAUCUGUAAUGGGAUCUGAUGCUUCUCUUCUGGUGUCUGAAGACAGUUACAGUAUAUUCACAUUUUUUUUUUCAAAAAAGGCUUUUAAAAAACUAAAAGAGAAAAUGAAAUAAACCUUCUUGCAUCAAAUUCCUGAACUCUGGGGUUGUGUGAGCCACUAUGCCCAGCCAUGGCCUGCCUUUGUACUUAGAUCACCAAAGCAGUAGCACUAACAAUACUGCCUCUAUGUUCUAAAGCACUGUAAAUUAUGGACUAGUGUAACUGGUGUCUCUGAAUUACUUGCUUAAUCUCACCACUGUGACUAGUACCCAACAAGCAGAACAAAGGGAGGGUUUCCGUUGGCUCCUGAUGUGAGGGAACACACCAUAAUGGCAGCAGAAAUGGUUGGUGGGUGAUAAAGUGCUUUCCUGGAAUGCCAGAAGCCCUGGGUUCAACGUACGACAUUGCAUGACCCAGGCAUGGUGUCAUAGGCCUGUAAUCUUAGCCAUGAGGACAUGGAGGCAGGAGGGCAAGAGGAUCAGAAGCUGAAUAUUAUCCUCAGUUACUUUUCUUUAAGAUUUAUUUAUUUUAUGUAUGAGUACAAUGUUGCUGUUUUGAGACACACUAGAAAAGGGCAUCGUUAUAUAACUAGCGCUAAGACAGCUGUGGAUACAACAGAUUCUGUGUCAAAACUAUCAACAAUGAAGAUCAAGUACACCAGUCAAUAGCCCACUGUCCUGUACCAUGGUCUAUCCUGUACCACUCUGUCCUGUACCAUGGUCUAUCCUGUACCACUGUCUGUCCUGUACCAUGGUCUAUCCUGUACUACUGUCUGUCCUGUACCAUGGUCUAUCCUGUACCACUGUCUGUCCUGUACCAUGGUCUAUCCUGUACUACUGUCUGUCCUGUACCAUGGUCUAUCCUGUAUCACUGUCUGUCCUGUACCAUGGUCUAUCCUGUACCACUGUCUGUCUUGUACCAUGGUCUAUCCUGUACCACUGUCUGUCCUUGAUAAUAAAAUCAGUAUUUGUAAUCUCUUGCAUAUCCAGUUCUUCCCAGGGAUGGCUCAGUUCCCCACACUAAGCGUGAAGACGGGGAUGAAGGUGUUCUAGGCAGUCUAUACUCCACGAAGGGACCCUGCAGUCCCUGCCCUCCAAGGCUAUGGUCCUUGUCCUUCAGGUUUUCCAGGCCAGCAGAAAUAGGACAUUCCAUAAAUAGGACCCUUAGGAGUAUUGAGGUCAUUGGGUUUAUCUGAUGAGUUUAAAGGUAGAAAUGAUUUAGGAAAAAAACCUUAUGGAGAGAACUGGGGUUCAAGGACAGGCAGGAGGCUGACACAUUGGGAACUAGGAGCCUAUAAGACACUGGGAUCUACUGUUAUUCUGACCCCUGGCUCUAGUCAAAGAGAUGCUGAUAAACACAUGGCUCCGAAUGGUACAACUGGACAUGGGAACAUAGAGCCUCGCAUCCAUGCAUAAGAAUGUUCAAGAAUGCAUAAGAAUGACAAGAAUGUUCACAGGGACAUUAACAGUGUUAAACUAGAAAUAACAGUGCCCAUUGGCAGGAAAUCAUAAAACCGCAGGGCAGUGGUGGUAUGUUUUUACCAUGGUCCAGGUAACAAUUCAAUAAAAAUUAAAACAGUAAAAAUAAGAAACUGAGGAUGUAUCCCCAGCUCCGAAAAAA